UAAGAUGUGCCGGAUGUGAGCAGUG
rnacentral:piRNA from 1 species